CAAUAAGCGGAAGAAAAGAAACCAACAGGGAUUACCUCAGUAACGGCGAGUGAAGCGGUAACAGCUCAAAUUUGAAAUCUGGCCCUUUCAGGGUCCGAGUUGUAAUUUGUAGAAGAUGCUUCGGGUGUAGCUCCGGUCUAAGUUCCUUGGAACAGGACGUCAUAGAGGGUGAGAAUCCCGUAUGUGACUGGUUGCUUUCGCCCAUGUGAAGCUCUUUCGACGAGUCGAGUUGUUUGGGAAUGCAGCUCUAAAUGGGUGGUAAAUUUCAUCUAAAGCUAAAUAUUGGCCAGAGACCGAUAGCGCACAAGUAGAGUGAUCGAAAGAUGAAAAGCACUUUGGAAAGAGAGUUAAACAGUACGUGAAAUUGUUGAAAGGGAAGCGCUUGCAACCAGACUUGCACGCAGUUGAUCAUCCGGUGUUCUCACUGGUGCACUCUGCUGCGUUCAGGCCAGCAUCGGUUUUGGUGGUUGGAUAAAGGCCUUGGGAAUGUAGCUUCUUUCGGGGAGUGUUAUAGCCCUCGGUGCAAUGCAGCCUACCGGGACCGAGG
rnacentral:rRNA from 1 species